GAAAUGCGAUAAGUAAUGUGAAUUGCAGAAUUCCGUGAAUCAUCGAAUCUUUGAACGCACAUUGCGCCCGCCAGUAUUCUGGCGGGCAUGCCUGUUCGAGCGUCAUUUCAACCCUCAAGCCCCCGGGCUUGGUGUUGGGGCUCGGCGAGCCUCACGGCAAGCCGGCCCCG
rnacentral:misc_RNA from 1 species